rnacentral:rRNA from 1 species
GACAGAGGGUGCAAACGUUGUUCGGAAUUACUGGGCGUAAAGGGCGCGUAGGCGGCACGGCAAGUCAGAAGUGAAAGGCCUGGGCUCAACCGAGGAACUGCUUUUGAGACUGCCGAGCUAGAGUGCGGAAGGGGCAACCGGAAUUCCCAGUGUAGCGGUGAAAUGCGUAGAUAUUGGGAAGAACACCUGAGGCGAAGGCGGGUUGCUGGGCCGACACUGACGCUGAGGCGCGAAAGCCAGGGGAGCAAACGGG